UAGGGAAUAUUGCGCAAUGGGCGAAAGCCUGACGCAGCAACGCCGCGUGAAGGAUGAAGGCCUUCGGGUCGUAAACUUCUGUCAGAUGGGAAGAAGGUUUGUAGGUUAAGAGCUAGUGAACUUGACGGUACCAUCAGAGGAAGUCCCGGCUAACUCCGUGCCAGCAGCCGCGGUAAUACGGAGGGGACAAGCGUUAUUCGGAUUUAUUGGGCGUAAAGAGCUCGUAGGCGGUUCGGUAAGUCGGGUGUGAAAACUCUGGGCUCAACCCAGAGAGGCCACUCGAUACUGCUGUGACUAGAGUGCGGUAGGGGAGCGGGGAAUUCCUGGUGUAGCGGUGAAAUGCGCAGAUAUCAGGAGGAACACCAGUGGCGAAGGCGCCGCUCUGGGCCGUAACUGACGCUGAGGAGCGAAAGCAUGGGUAGCAAACAGGAUUAGAUACCCUGGUAGUCCACGCCGUAAACGAUGGUGCUAGGUGUUGGGUAGCUUGCUAUUCAGUGCCGAAGCUAACGCGUUAAG
rnacentral:rRNA from 1 species